CCAGGGCUGGGAGCUCAUCUGAAGGCUCAACAGGGGAUGUAUCCACUGCAGGCCUCUUCUCAGGAUAUUGUUGACACAAUUUAGCUCCUUGAGGGUGCUGGACUGAGGGCCUCACUUCCUAGAUGACUGUUGGCCAGUGGCCACCAGCAAUUCUUUGCCACAUGAGCCUCUCCAGUAUUGCAGCUUGCUUCAUCAAAGUGUGCAAGACAAGAAGACAAAAAAGAGAGCUGCAAGAAAGACGGAAACCAAGAUCUCAUGUAACCUAAUGACAGAGGUGACCUCCCAUUACCAUUGCUGUAUUCUAUUAAAAGCAGGUCUUGCUCACAUUCAAGAAGAAGGGAUUAUACAAGGGUGUGAAUCCCAGGAGACAAGGACCAGUGGGGACAUCUUACAGCCUGCCCACCAUACCACUCAUCUAAUUUCAGACGAAGUCUUGCUCUGUUGACCAAGCUGGAUGGAGUGCAGUGGUGCGAUCACAACUCACUGCAACCUUGACCUCCUGGGCCCAAGCAAUCCUCCUGCUUCAGCCUACCAAAGUGUUGGGAUUACAGGAAUGAGCUACCAUGCCCAGCCAAAAGCCCAGGGUUUUGUUGGAUGGUAGUACAAGGAGAUGCUUUCUCACUGCACCCCCACCUCCCAUCUUUGAGGAUAAACAAGGAAGCACGUCUUCCCAAGAGGCAGGGGCUAUCUUGAAACCAUGAAGAAAGACUCAUCCUGAGAAGAACGCAAACACCAAACAAGUGGAACCUGGAGAUACUGAGAGAAACAGGGUCCUGGUUGUGUCCCCUGAGCUGCUGAACUUUUCAGAUGCACAAACCCAUUACAUUUUUUUAUUAAAAAUGGUUUGAGUCCGG
rnacentral:lncRNA from 10 species